UGAUAUGGAAGAAAUCCAGAAGUGGCUAAUAAUAUUGACACUAUAACAAUAAUGACAAUAUUAUUAGCCACUUCUGGAUUUAUGAAUCA
ensembl:miRNA